rnacentral:rRNA from 1 species
CCUACGGGGGGCAGCAGUAGGGAAUCUUCGGCAAUGGACGAAAGUCUGACCGAGCAACGCCGCGUGAGUGAAGAAGGUUUUCGGAUCGUAAAACACUGUUGUUAGAGAAGAACAAGGACGGUAGUAACUGAAUGUCCCCUGACGGUAUCUAACCAGAAAGUCACGGCUAACUACGUGCCAGCAGCCGCGGUAAUACGUAGGUGGCAAGCGUUGUCCGGAUUUAUUGGGCGUAAAGCGAGCGCAGGCGGUUUCUUAAGUCUGAUGUGAAAGCCCCCGGCUCAACCGGGGAGGGUCAUUGGAAACUGGGAGACUUGAGUACAGAAGAGGAGAGUGGAAUUCCAUGUGUAGCGGUGAAAUGCGUAGAUAUAUGGAGGAACACCAGUGGCGAAGGCGACUCUCUGGUCUGUAACUGACGCUGAGGCUCGAAAGCGUGGGGAGCAAACAGGAUUAGAUACCCUCGUAGUC